rnacentral:lncRNA from 1 species
UUUUUUUAAAUGCAAAUCAGAAUUCAGGAAACAUUAGAAUUUAAAUUGCCCCUAUAGCAAGGCUACAUUAAUAUAUGUAUGCCUUAGAAGAGUUGUCAGUUAUGUGAUUACAAACUAUUUUUCCAUUCUCUGUACUCUAGGUUCUGUCACUGGACUGCCUUUGUUGUGUACUUGUACAAAUCCUAGCAGAUCAGCAUCCUUAUAAAAAUAAAUGCAUGCAGCCACAUUCUCAAGUAUAACUGAAGUAAUUCACUGCCUGAAUGGAAACUUGUGAUAUGCUCACCAUGUGAUUUAAUUGAAACAGAUUAGGUUUAUCAGUAUAUGCAGAAUGUUAUCCUAUAGCUAAGAAGACAGGAUUCCUUACCUUGAGAAAGGGGCAAAAAAGUGAAAAGUAGAAAACUCUUAUCCCAGGUACUAUUGAACAGCCUCAAUACUGGAUGUCUCCAAAUGGCCCAUCUCUUCCUCCCAACCCGACAUACAUACAACCCUUCUUCACACCACUUAGACUUCACUCAUACACUAUUUUGGGGAUCUUUCCCUCUCCUGUCUUUGCAAAGAUGCAUUACCAAGGGUGUAUCUUGUUAAAUUUUCAUACUUAAAGAUGAUGAGGACAUGUUUUGUAGAUGUUUGCUUCAGAUUUAAGUGUCUUAGAAAGUUUAACAGCUAAAUGGACAAAACAUAGCAUCUAUAGCUCAUGCAAUAUCAAUAUAUUGCUUUGAUAUCCAUACACUAUCAUGUAGUACAGCAGUGUGAUAACAUGACAUUUGGUGAUUCACGCUCAAGCCUGUCCAGCUGAAGAGCAUUCUUCAGUGACAACCCAUUGACACACUGGACUGGGGGCUGAUCUUUAUAGAUGACAACUGUGUUACUCUACCUCUUGUCAUUGCCCUCCAUGGAAUACAGCCAGGUAUCCACAAAGUCUCUCAUCUGCUCUGCAUUACCAUGUCUAAGACUUUCACAGUUCUUGAGCAAAUGCCCUGCAGCCAUACCACCACCCCUUUGGCCACAAUUCCUGCAGAACUCAUGAAACAAUGUCCUCAGAAGAACUCC